CUUUUUCCAAGAACAGAGAAAAACCUCUUCCAAUCCCUGCAUUGCCCAAAAAGAGAAAACAACAAAGCAAAUCUAGAUAUCUAGUGUUUCCACAAAAGAACACUAUUAUAAAUUGUAAUCUAAUCUCAAUAUGAAGGUCAAUAUCGAAGACCAUCCUUACCUGCCUGGGAAACAUGCAUCUGUACAUCCAAAAAUUCAUGGAGCUGCAGUGAAGAAAAUGGUCAAAAGUCGAAUGUCGCAAGGCAAUGUACCUGAAGUCAGCAAGUGCCUUUCUUUAUUUUUGGAAUUCUUUGCUUCGGUAUUUCCAACUAUUAUAUAUGAUUGCAACAUUGGCUUUGAUUAGGAGAGCAGCGGUAGCUAAUAAAGGUGGCUUUACAGAAGGAAUAUUCAGGAAUUUUCACGAAGAUUUGAAAAACUUUAGUCUAAGAAACCGAUCCCCUAUUUUCUUCGUUCAUUAUGUUAAUACUAGGACUAUGACUUCAUCUAGCCUCUAUAAAUUCCUAUUCAAUAAAAACUAAAUUCAUUUUUUCUAUGAAGAUUUUCUCGUUUUGAUGGCUUGUUGAAGUUUUCUUGUUUACCGACCCUUUUUCUAAAUCUAUUUUCUAAUAAUGUUACAAGUGGUUUUAUAAUAGAGAAAGUAAUCAUCUUUUGUAAUAUCUGUUCUAAGAAAAAUGUUUUUUUUUUUUUAUAAGAAUGAAAUACUUGAAAUUAUACUCUCUAUAAAAAGUUUCUUUAACAAAGGGGUGUAAGUUUUUGGAUGUAUCAAAUUUUUGUACUUUUAAGCCAAGUGGCUGCUAUGUAAUCUAAUUAUUUUCAAAAUUUAUUU